UACAGAGGUCUCAAGCGUUGUUCGGAUUCAUUGGGCGUAAAGGGUGCGUAGGUGGCGGGGUAAGUCAGGUGUGAAAUCUCGGGGCUCAACCCCGAAACUGCACUUGAUACUGCCUUGCUCGAGUACUGGAGAGGAGAUUGGGAUUUACGGUGUAGCAGUGAAAUGCGUAGAUAUCGUAAGGAAGACCAGUGGCGAAGGCGGCUCACUGGCCCGUUACUGACGCUGAGGCACGAAAGCGUGGGGAGCAAACAGG
rnacentral:rRNA from 1 species